rnacentral:rRNA from 1 species
CUCGUAGGCGGUUCGUCGCGUCCGGUGUGAAAGUCCAUCGCUUAACGGUGGAUCUGCGCCGGGUACGGGCGGGCUUGAGUGCGGUAGGGGAGACUGGAAUUCCCGGUGUAACGGUGGAAUGUGUAGAUAUCGGGAAGAACACCAAUGGCGAAGGCAGGUCUCUGGGCCGUUACUGACGCUGAGGAGCGAAAGCGUGGGGAGCGAACA